UGGGGACGGGGCGCAGCAGGCGCGAAACCUCCACAAUGCACGAAAGUGCGAUGGGGCUACCUCGAGUGCUGCCUGAAGAAGGUGGCUUUUCCACUGUCUAACCAGCUGUGGGAAUAAGAGGGGGGCAAGACUGGUGUCAGCCGCCGCGGUAACACCAGCUCCUCGAGUGGUGGGGAUGAUUAUUUGGCCUAAAGCGUUCGUAGCCGGCUCAGUAAAUCCCUCGUUAAAUCCAACGUCCCAAGCGUUGGGCCGCGAGAGACACUGCUGAGCUAGAGGGUGGGCGAGGUCAGCGGUAUUUCUGGGGUAGGGGCGAAAUCCUUUGAUCCCAGGAGGACCACCAGUGGCGAAGGCUGUUGACCAGAACACGCCUGACGGUGAGGGACGAAAGCUGGGGUAGCGAAUCGGAUUAGAUACCCGAGUAGUCCCAGCCGUAAACGAUGCAUGCUAGGUGUUGGAGCAGCCACGUGCUGCUUCAGUGCCACAGGGAAGCCAUUAAGCAUGCCGCCUGGGGAGUACGGCCGCAAGGCUGAAACUUAAAGGAAUUGGCGGGGGAGCACCACCAGGCGUGAAGCCUGCGGUUUAAUUGGAGUCAACGCCGGGAACCUUACCGGGAGCGACAGAAGAGUGAAGGCCAGGUUAAAGGUCUUGCCGGACGAUCUGAGAGGAGGUGCAUGGCCGUCGCCAGUUCGUGCCGUGAGGUGUCCUCUUAAGUGAGGUAACGAACGAGACCCGCGCUCCAUGUUGCCAUCAAAUCCUAUAGGGAUGUUGGGCACUCUUGGAGGACCGCAGCCGAUAAGGCUGAGGAAGGUGCGGGCAACGGCAGGUCAGUAUGCCCCGAAUCUCCCGGGCCACACGCGGGCUGCAAUGGUAGGGACAGAGGGCUGCAACCCCGAGAGGGGAAGCCAAUCCCUAAACCCUACCUCAGUUGGGAUCGAGGGCUGCAACCCGCCCUCGUGAACAUGGAAUGCCUAGUAACCGCGCGUCAUCAUCGCGCAGUGAAUACGUCCCUGCUCCUUGCACGAAUUCGCCGA
rnacentral:rRNA from 1 species